GUUAGAGGACUGACCAGGUCCAGUAGGGGCCAGCUAGAGGACUGCCCAGGUCCAGUAGGGGCCAGCUAGAGGACUACCCAGGUCCAGUAGGGGCCAGCUAGAGGACUGCCCAGGUCCAGUAGGGGCCAGCUAGAGGACUGACCAGGUCCAGUAGGGGCCAGCUAGAGGACUGACCAGGUCCAGUAGGGGCCAGCUAGAGGACUGACCAGGUCCAGUAGGGGCCAGCUAGAGGACUGACCAGGUCCAGUAGGGGCCAGCUAGAGGACUGACCAGGUCCAGUAGGGGCCAGCUAGAGGACUGACCAGGUCCAGUAGGGGCCAGCUAGAGGACUGACCAGGUCCAGUAGGGGCCAGCUAGACCGUACAGUGAAGUCACGGAUGCCAAACUUGGAUGCUUUAAUCCACCCUUUUAGAUGUCUAGUGACUCUAUAGAUAUUUCUAUCCAGGAUUCACAAGCCAAUUGACGUUACUUUACACUAGAUAGAUCUACACAAGUUG